rnacentral:rRNA from 1 species
UACGGAGAGUGCAAGCAUUAAUCGGAAUUAUUGGGCGUAAAGGGCGCGUAGGCGGAUGGUCAAGUCAGAUGUGAAAUUCCGAAGCUCAACUUCGGAGCUGCAUUUGAAACUAGCGAUCUAAGAGGGUUGACGGAGAAAACGGAAUUCCACGUGUAGCGGUGAAAUUCGUAGAUAUUGGGAAGAACACCGGUGGCGAAGGCGGCCAACUGGACCACAACUGACGCUGAGGCGCGAAAGCGUGGGGAGCAAACAGG